rnacentral:lncRNA from 1 species
UUGUGUUGAAAAGUAUGCUGGAGCUGAUGAGGCUUUUGAGAAGCAUGGGACUUUGACCGAGCCUUCAACUGAAGAAAAGAAAGAAGGUUUCAAGUUUUCUCCAAUCCAGGAGGAUCCCACAAGGGGCCGGCCACGACCUAAGACUCCACCUCGACAUUGAAGAUCUAGAACCCCUCCUCAGGGGCAACAACCUAGAAGUCCUCAGAGACAGUGUCAUCUAUCACUAAGGCACUAGUCCCUGCUAAGAAGGUUCACUAACUACACUCUUCAGAACACUUCUAAAACUCAAGUACUCAUAGAGAUUAGGAAACAGCUACCCA